GGAUGGGUGGCAGAGCGGUUGGAAUGCACUGGAUGCGAAAACCAGCAAGGGGGCAACCCUUCGUGGGUUCGAAUCCCACCCAUCCGCCA
rnacentral:tRNA from 1 species